rnacentral:rRNA from 1 species
GACGAACGCUGGCGGCGUGCUUAACACAUGCAAGUCGAACGGAAAGGCCCUGCUUUUGUGGGGUGCUCGAGUGGCGAACGGGUGAGUAACACGUGAGUAACCUGCCCUUGACUUUGGGAUAACUUCAGGAAACUGGGGCUAAUACCGGAUAGGAGCUCCUGCUGCAUGGUGGGGGUUGGAAAGUUUCGGCGGUUGGGGAUGGACUCGCGGCUUAUCAGCUUGUUGGUGGGGUAGUGGCUUACCAAGUCUUUGACGGGUAGCCGGCCUGAGAGGGUGACCGGCCAAACGGGAACUGAGAGACGGGCGAGACUGCUAGGGGAGGCAGCAGGAGGGAAUCGUCCGCAAUGGGCGAAAGGCGGGCGGAGCAACGCCGCGGGAUGGAUCAAGGUCUUGGGAGCGUAAAAGUCUGUGAUUAGGGAAGAAAAAAAGUGUAAUGAACAAUGCACGCCAUGACGGUACCUAAUCAGAAAGCCACGGCUAGCUACGGG